rnacentral:lncRNA from 1 species
UAGGCUCUUGAUCUUAUGGCAAGUUCAGUGAGUCUUUAGCAAGUAGUCGAACUUUCUCGGUGAUAUCCGCGAACCUCCGAUGAUCUCUCCGGCGGACUUCUGAAAACUUCGGCAAGUCCCCAAUUCCUUCUUGGUUGGUUCCGGCAGCACUUCCGAUGAAUCUUCGGACUCUUGGCGGACUCUUGAACACCCAUCAAACUUGACUUCGGUAGACUUGCUUUAUGUCUUCAAGCUAUCGUAGUUAAUCCUGCAUAAGUAAAGCAAAACUUCGAUCUAGAUAAUUACUCCUAAGCAAUCAAGUUGUCUGGCAUGUCAUUGGUCCCUCGACGCUUCAUCUGAUUCUUCGGUGCAUCGUCCUCUCUUGCGGCCUAUUGCCCAAUCGGCCAGUUGACUCCGCAACUCCGAUAUCCUUGGUGCAAUACCCGCUCUUCUUGGCCCAAUGCCCGAAUCCACGGCCCGAAGCCUUUUGUCGAUACGUUGACCGAUCCACCGGCCCGACGUCUAAUCUUCUGACAUGUUUCUCCGGGGCAACAUGAUUUUUCUACUUUAAUUGUCUCAUCCUGAUCGAAGUAUCUUGCAUCACUCAAAAUGCAGAUUAAAUCAUAAACAUAUAUCAAGUGGUUUCAUCAUCAAAAUACGAGAUUAUAUAUAUAUAUAUAUAUAUAUAUAUAUAUAUAUAUAUAUAUAUAUAUCUUAAACAUUAGUUUAAUCACAUCGCUAAUUUACCUAAUCUAUUCACUCGAGGAUCACAUCUUGAUAAGCUAGUUAACUUUGCUAAUUCACAUCAUUUGAGUCAAGAUACGUGAAUAGAUUAGGUGCAUCGUCAAUCUGCUCAAGGUGAAUUAGCGAAGUUAGCUAGCUCAUAGAGAUAAGCGAAAUGAGAGUGAUAAUCUAGGUUAAACUAUAAUUUAAUUAAUUAAAAAAAUAUUACAAAGUAAUGAUAAACAGGAAUGAGUAUAUCGAAGAUAAAAAUAGAUUUUUUACAUCCCAAGUGUUGUUCUGACGGUCGUGUAGCGUAGUGUAUACGACUCACUCGCUCCUUAAUUCAAUCUAUUAUUCUUCUUACAUGAUAAUAGUUAAUUUAAUUGGAAAAGAUUUUAUGAGAUCAUUAUAAAAUUUUAGGAUCAAUUAUCGUUUGUAAUAAAAAAUAAAAAAAGAAAGAUGAUCAUCCCAUGCAUUACUAAUGAAUGAAUAUUUUAUUCUCUUCAGCUAUUAAUUAAUGGAAGCUUUGCGGGGGUGUUGUUAACAUAAUAAGCCUUCUGUCUUAAGGCAACAUCAUGAAUAGAAUCCACCUAAUGCGCUGUAUAGAGCCUGCAUUCCCUCUUCGUCAAGUAGUAAGCUCUCCAACUUACUAACGGGAGGCGGAGAGGUGGUGGUGGUGGUGGUGGCGGUGACGAUGAUGACCAGGGAAGACGAUAGAGGAGAGGAGUGGGAGGCGGAGGAGAUCGACUACGUGUUCAAGAUCGUCGUGAUCGGCGACUCGGCGGUGGGGAAGACGCAGUUGCUCGGCCGCUUCACCAAGGACGAGUUCUUCCUCGACUCCAAGUCCACCAUCGGCGUCGAGUUCCAAACUCGAACCCUCGUCCUCAACCGCAAGCGCAUCAAGGCCCAAAUCUGGGACACCGCCGGCCAAGAGCGGUACCCCCCCCUCCCUCCCCCCAUCUCAAUCUCAAGCUUUUAAGAUUCCUUUUUCUUUCUUGGAGUCGGGAACUCAUAGAUUGCACCUGAUUCCAGUUUGAUUCAUUGUCUAUCAAACUUCACUUACACAAGUGUGCAUUUGGUCCUGAUAAGAAACAAGAUGGAUCAAAACAUGAUCUUGUUGAUGAUGAUGAGAGGAUGCGUAUGGGUUUGGUUGACUGUGACACAGACCGGUGGAUGUUGUUCUCGUCGCCAUCUUUUUAUCUUCACAUGUUUGAUGGUUUGUGAAGCAUAUGACUUCCUUGAUGACAAAAGGAAAUCCAUUGGGUUCACAAGCAUCACAAUGACCCACAAUUGACUUACUCCCCUGACCCUAAUGAUCUUGUACCAAUCUUGGUUAAUGAGGCAGAAUUGACCUACCCUGAUCCUAGUGAUCCUUGUUUUUGGGUCUACGAGAGAAAAUAACUUGUACCAAAUAUUUGAGCUUGUAUUAGUUUUUGAGUUAGAAUUGGCCUUAAUAAUCUUUUUCUUUGGGGUCUAUAAGAAAAUAAUUUGUACCAAAUAUUUUAGUGAGUAUUAAUGACCAAGUUGAAUCUUUAUUUUUGAGUCAGAAUCUAUCUCUCCUAACUCUAAUGAUCCUUUUAUUUGGGGUCUAUAAGAAAAUAAUUUGUAUUAAAUAUUUGAGUGAGUAUUAUUUAUUAGGACCGUAUCGGCACUGAGAGAGGGGGAGGGUGAAUUAGUGCUUUCAUAAAAUCACGUCGGUUUAAAAAUUCUCGUUCGAUAAAUCAGUUUACAAUAUAAACGAAAAGCAUAAAAUAAAUGAAACCAGAUUUAUAGUGAUUCGGUCGUCGUGACCUACAUCCACUCCCGAUUCCUCUUCACUCGAGGCCAACGACUUCCACUACUGAUCUUCUUUCAACGGGCGAAGAUUAACUACCCUUACAACACUUUCUCCUUUUCACAGGUUCAGGAGAGAACCUCUUACACCUCUUUUUUAGACCUCAUUCCUCCCUUAGAAAACUUAUAACUCUAGGAGGAAGAGACUCUAAAUCCUAAGAGAGUUUCUAAUUUUUUUUCUCAAGUAUUCUUUCCUCUUUUUCUACUUAAAUUCAUGCUCUUCGAAGCAGAAAUAACUGGGGUAUUUUCAGACCCUAAUUGGCUUAAAAAAUGAAGCCAAAAAAAAAUCUCAUCCCGAGUUUCCUAAGUCUUGGUGGUAUCAUUGCUUGUAGCACUAUCACUGGACGGUACCACCGCGCAAUCUAACAGUACCACUGCCUGACACAAUUUGGGAAACUGUGUUUGGGCAAUACCACCACCCAAACUAGCGAUGCCAUCGCUUGACACAAUCUGGGAGACUAUGUUUGGGUAGUACAACAGCCCAGUCUGACGGUGCCACCAUUUGACCCUUUUAUGGUGGGUGACCGAAUAUGUCUUUAACUUAGCCCAAAACAGUCCGAAACUCUAAUAAUCUUUGUUUUUGAAUCAGAAUUUACCUCUCCCCACUUUGUUUUUCUUUAGGGUCUAUAAGAAAACAACUUGUACCAAAUAUUUGAGCUAGUAUUAUUCAGUAUUAUUCGCUAAGUAAAUGACCAGGUUGAAUCUUGAUUUUUUGAGUCACAGGUGACCUUCCCUGGCCCUUCGUUUUUUUCUUUUUUGGGACAAUAAGAAAACAGCAUUACCAAAUAUUUGAGUGCAUAUUGUUUACCAAGAAAAUGAUCAUGUUCAAUCUUAAUUUUUUGAGUCAGAAUUGACCUCCCCUGACCUAUUGAUUGUAUUGGGUCUAUAAGAAACCGAUUUGUACUAAAUACUUGAGUGAGAAUUAUUUACUCAGUGAAUGACAAUCUUCUGGCAGCAGUUAAUAGAACUGACCCACCCCAGUCCAACACAAACAGACAUGCUUCCAUUAUGAAGGGAAGCCCUCUCUAGCGUAGAUGAACACUGCACAUGCAGCAUGAAACUUAGCUUGUUCCCUGUUGUUCUAAUGCACUGAAAUAAAUUAUGACCCAUCUGGGCUUUAAAUAAAUACAUAUAUUGUAUAUAAGAAGCUUAGGCAGUUCCCAUGAAUCAUGUCAGAAAUGUUCAUCAUACUACACUGCGAGUAGCAGGUGGGACUCUUCGAGCAUGUAGGGUCAUGAGCCAGUGUAUGUCAUGAAGGUUUUUGAUCCCUGUACUCCUUUCCUAUCCAUAUAUUUCCAUGCUGUGAAACUGACUCAUGACUUCUCUAGUGUUGAUUAUUUACUACCACCA